rfam:Angiostrongylus cantonensis strain Taiwan genome assembly, scaffold: ACAC_contig0013846
GCCCUGUUAGCUCAGUAGGUGGAGUACUAGACUCUUAAUGUGGCUGGCUUGGGUUCGAGUCCUGCAUCAGGCU